rnacentral:tRNA from 1 species
UAAGUUUCGCUAGAGCACUAAAUUGUUCAUAUUUCUC